AUGCUCUCUUUGGCAGCACAUAUACUAAAACUGGAACGAUGCAGAGAAGAUUAGCAUGGCCCCUGCCCAAGGAUGACAUGCAAAUUCAUGAAGCAAAAAUUAGUCAU